UACGUAGGGGUGCGAGCGUUUGUCCGGAAUUACUGGGCGUAAAGAGCUCGUAGGUGGUUUGUCGCGUUGUCCGUGAAAACUCACAACUCAAUUGUGGGCGUGCGGGCGAUACGGGCAGACUGGAGUACUGCAGGGGAGACUGGAAUUCCUGGUGUAGCGGUGGAAUGCGCAGAUAUCAGGAGGAACACCGGUGGCGAAGGCGGGACUCUGGGCCGAUACUGACGCUGAGGAGCGAAAGCGUGGGGAGCAAACAGG
rnacentral:rRNA from 1 species